AAGUAAGCAUUUCAUGGUAAGGUCUACACUGUUGGUUAAGGGCUUGUAAGUAAGCAUUUCAUGGUAAGGUCUACACUGUUGGUUAAGGGCUUGUAAGUAAGCAUUUCAUGGUAAGGUCUACACUGUUGGUUAAGGGCUUGUAAGUAAGCAUUUCAUGGUAAGGUCUACACUGUUGGUUAAGGGCUUGUAAGUAAGCAUUUCAUGGUAAGGUCUACACUGUUGGUUAAGGGCUUGUAAGUAAGCAUUUCACAGUAAGGUCUACACUGUUGGUUAAGGGCUUGUAAG